UAUCAUCUUUCUAAUAGCGAUCUAUUGGGAUGGAGGAAAAGUCUGCCACAUCUCACCCUUCCCAGCCCUACUUUAUGAUUGAUCUCAUGCCUGGGUUGUUGAGCAUGAAGAAUCCAAUAAAAUGAACGCCAGAAACACUAGCAUGGUUAUCGCCCAACAUGACUCAGGUAGAAAGAAGACUCGAGUGGUG